rnacentral:rRNA from 1 species
AGCUCUAAGAAUACGCGGAGGAGGUGACCCGGGUCGGCGUCGGCGCCGUCUGGCACGGGCCACGGGCCCGCUUCCAAGCGCGUCUGCGCAUCGGCCACCCACGCCGUGUCCUUUAAGUGCCACUUCCACCGCACCAACUACCAGGGUCACGGCCAUGGCCAGGGCCAGGGAAGCCGCCCUACCUUGCCCCCUUCACCGGCCGCGGCCAACGCGGUGCCGCGGCACCCGGCCUCGUCGUCCUCGUCCUCCAGCACCGUCGCGACCCAGUGA